rnacentral:tRNA from 1 species
GCCCAGGUGGCUAAGUUGGUUAAGCAUCUGACUUCAGCUCAGAUCAUGAUCUUGCGAUUCCUGGGUU